rnacentral:lncRNA from 1 species
GAUGGGAACUCUCCGCACCGAGCAAACCAGACAAGGUGCGGAAUUAGCCAGACAGGGUGUGGAAUUGUUCCGACAAGGGACAGUCAUGGAUGACAUGCAAGCCAUGAUGCAACGUCUGAUGUUGCAUUUCCCGCACGAUCCUCCGCCUCCUCCACAACAGUAAUCACUGUAAGUCCCCUUUGUGUUUGAAUUUAAACAUUGAGGUCAAUGUUUAGUUCAAGUGUGGGGGGGUUUU